UAAUAAAAACCCCAUGCUGCAUAGAUAAUGCAGAUAGUUCUAGUAAUCUGGUCAACGGGCAAAAAGCAAGCACUUAAGGUCUUCAGCUCCAAUCUUUUGUUCAUUUCUUAUUGCUGGAAUUUCAUAUUCAUUUCUUCUUGUUGGAUGACUAAACCGGAUGAUGGUAGAGAUGUUAAGCCGGCAUUUACUCAGCCCCGCCCUGCUCAGCCUCGGGAGCGGACGAAUUCUCAGCUGGUGGAUCGGCUGCUUUUGUCUCUUUGCCAUCUUGUGGUUUAGGGUUAUCUGGGCGUCUGCGUCGGUUGUUGAAGUUGCGGCGGUACCGACGCUGAGGUGGCUGCUGACCCUGGGUCUCAUCUCCUUGGUUUUCCUUGUCUUCUUCAUUGCCGUCCUCUCUAGGCUGUCUUUGGUGAGGAGGACCUCUGCGGAAUCGUGGUCUAUAACCCCGAUACAUAUUCUGUCUCACUGGUCUACCUUGUUCUCCUGCACCCUGGUUGUCAGCACCUUCCAUCACUUCUCCCUGCACAGGAGGGUUGGAAUACUGUGGUCGACGCCCAUAGGGUCUCCGCAUGUAGUAAGGUGGGAACCUUCGCCUGCGGUAGGGCCGGCGUUGUUGGGCCUGGCCUUCGGGAGCGCUCUCCGAUCCCUCAUUCUUUUCCCCACUCUCACUAUUCUGGUAAUUCUGCUGGUAAUUGCGUGGAGGAGUCUUAACCUAUUAUACCUCAGUGCCGGCCCCAAAUAGCUGGUUCUUGUGUCACUUUUUAAAAGUAGUCAAGUAUAAAUGUUUUAAAGUUAAAAUAUUCAAUUUGCAUCAAAUGUAGAAUGUUGAAAUUAGUACUCUGUAGUCCUAUAUUUCUGGAUAAAAUGGUUUGCAAUCACUGUUUUUGCUAUGGGAAAUUUUGAAAGCUUUCUUUGAGCAGAGUAACAAGGUCAAAUUGCCACUGGUGUGAGAUCACAGAGCAAUGCAGUACAGCCCUAAGAGGGUAGAUGCUGAGAAUGUGGGCCAGAGGGUUUUGUUGUUGUUCAGGCACAUAUACUGAGGGGAUGAAGGAAAGUGACUGCUAAUAGGACAAGACAGGAUCGAUUGCAGAAAAGAGAGUGGACUUAACAGUACUGUAGUAAUGGUUAGAUCAAAGAAUGAGGUGGUAGCAGGGCUCAAUGGUGAGAUAAAAUGCUUUGAUAUUCACUUAUUCCAGGAGCAUUUAUUCAUUGUUCUGUACAGUGAGUUGCAAUCUGGGAAUAUGAUUGUAAAUAUAACAUGCUCUUCACUUUGGAAUAUAAUUGUGUUAGAGUGGGCAUUUGGUCUAGCGGUUACAACAUCAAAUGGGAUACCUGCUUCCCAUAUCAGAGUGAAUGGGUUCUAGUCCCAGCAGCACUCCUUAUUCUAACUUCCUGAUAAUGUAUUCUGGUAGUCAGUAGGUAAUUUCUCAAGUGGUUCGGUCCCAGCCACCCACAUGGGAGACCCAGACUGAGUUCCUGACUCCUAACUUAAGCUUGGCCUAACUGGGCUGUUGCAAACAUCUGAGAGUGAACCAGCAAGGUGAUAUCCCUGUGGAUUUCUCCAUGAGAAGAAAAAAAUAUAUAUUCUUUCUUUAAAACUAUGCAUUUAAAUUAGAAGAAAACUAAAAUUAUUUCCUAUGAAUGUGAAGACAGGGGUAUUCUUGUUUCGAUGCUCAUAGCAAACAGUCACAAGACCUACAAGAUGACAGGAGAUUCUGACUUUCAUUUUAUACUACCACAAGGAUCAAACAAUGAAACUUGAUGAGAGUUUGUCAGAUUUAACUCAGAAUGCUCGUUAAUACUCCACAUGUGUAUUGAAAAUGUGAGUAGUUGGUAUGAAUUGAUGUUGAAGAAUUGUGUCUUCCAAUUAUUGUCAUAGUAAGGGAAAGUAACCCAGGAGAGAAAGUGACAUCCCCACAACUGAAGCUUUUCAUCUGCCUGAACAGACUUCACAAUUGCACUGACAGUCACUCUGGGAAGACGAUAAAUAUGAACACAUACUGAGGUCUUAAAUUAGAGGGAGAAUUCACAGGACUGGACUUGGUAUCUGAGUUGCUGACAUGUCCAGAAGUUGCCCAUUUGUGGAUGCAUUCUUGGAGCUGAGCAUAGGAGUGCACUACAAAGGAACCUGACUUGAGUAUUGAUAUAGCUGUAACCACAUUUAACAGCAAACGUAAGUUCUAUUACCUUCUGCUAUUCCUGGUGUAUGUACUGAGAAGUUUGAACAAUGCUCUUGAUUCUGUGAUAUCGUAGAGAAUCAGGGUAUAUGUCAGAUCAAUGUUUGGGUAGAAUGAAAAAGUAUAAUGUAACCCCAGUCAUCCAAGUCAGGGUUGAUUUAGGAUAACAUGUACAUAACUAAGUGGUAUAAACAUGAACUGGAUAUUACAUACUAGCAAUGGUGGGGAGAGAUAGUUGUUAAAACGUUAAGAUGAAAAGUAUAACUGAAAAACAAUAUUUGAUUGGCAUAGGGCUUGCAAAAUGAAAGCAAACCAUACAUCAAAUAUCUUUCAAAUUUCAUGUAAUGUAAUUGUAGGGAAGAAUUUUCUCUCUCCUUAAGUUGAAAGCCACUUGAUUGAUUUACUUAUCUCAUACUUUCAAUAUAUCCUUAGUAUCUGCAGGAAAAAUGAGUCAAAUGAGAUUCAAACGUAAAAGUCGUGUCAUGGAAAUAAACGAAAGUAAUAAUAUCUCA
rnacentral:lncRNA from 1 species